UACAGAGGGUGCGAGCGUUAAUCGGAAUUACUGGGCGUAAAGCGUGCGUAGACGGUUACGUAAGUCGGGUGUGAAAGCCCCGGGCUCAACCUGGGAAUUGCAUUCGAGACUGCGCAGCUAGGGUGCGGAAGAGGGAAGCGGAAUUUCCGGUGUAGCGGUGAAAUGCGUAGAUAUCGGAAGGAACAUCAGUGGCGAAAGCGACUUCCUGGACCAAUACUGACGCUCAUGUGCGAAAGCGUGGGGAGCAAACAGG
rnacentral:rRNA from 1 species